UUGAUCUAACUAUGGAGGAUGGAUAUGCUAGAAAAGUUUAAUGUAAUAACCUCCUGGCCUAUGGAUUUCUUUUACUGCUGAUUGGACCAAUCCAACUAGCACCACCCCCCACAGCUCGGCCUUAGACAAAUAUGGGAGGAAGGUUCUUUGGAUGGAUUCUUCCAGCAAUGUGCGUAGGUAGUAUAAAUGACAUCUCUGUAGCAUUUGCGUGGAGAAAGAGCCAAAUGGAGGAGGAUCUUCGAAGAACAGGGGAUGGCAUAUUCCGGUGGAGACCUGCGCAGCGUUUAGACGCGACCAAAAGGCGUUCGCUGCUGCUGCUGCUGCAGCAAUGACGACUUUUGGUGACGCUUCGGGGGCCAAAAGCGACGCGGCGAAGCGAAACGAGUGACUCGUCGCCAUGGUGGAGCUGCGCUGCGACGGGGAGGGUGAAUGCGGGUGCUCCGCGUCGAGCACCUUAGCUGCAUGUGGGGACACACGGGAUUUGUUUACUUCAGCGACAACAUCUGAUGGUGGUCUCUCCUUAUGCCAAGAUAGCAUCGGUCCUCCAUGGGGAUUCUGACGGCAAACUACCAAACAGAUGCAGUGCAUUCCUUUCAUCACACUGGGACUGCGAACAAGUUGCUGAUGGAUUUCGUCUUUCUCCGUCUCCUUUUCGG